CCGCGCCCGGCGCUCGGCUCUACCUUGAGGCGCAGUGCGGUGUCGAGGCCCCGGCCCCGGGGUAGCCAGAUGAGCCCUCAAGUCAUUACCAGCUUUGAAGUAAGGGUUUUUCUUCCCUGCACCUGCGCCCCGGGCGCCCGGACCCUCCCUGACAGCCGAAUGCCUGGUAACCCGAAUCCGGGGCCGGCCUGGCUUCCGGAGUGUGGGCGCCCUCCCUCCUCAGCCUCACCGAAGCCGGCGUGUCUCCAAAGACAGCUAUUCCUCACUUCAUAGUGCCUGGGUAUUUAAAGUCACCGUGGUGACCCAUCCCCUGGUUUGGGUUCCUUUCGUUCUCUCCUGAAUUUACUGCGCUAGCGACACUCCUUCGUUCAACACACAUUGACUGGUUUCGCUCUUGGCUCAGAGAGCUGGAUCUCCCAGGCUACUGCUCUCCCAAAUGUCCCAAAGCCCCCGUCGCUGCCGCACCGCAGGACUAGUGAGCCCGCGCUGUCACAGGGACGCCCAAAGAUUGCUGCCAGUGAGGACCGCAUUCGGGCUCUUGCCUGGAGUUCCGGGUCCCGGAAGAAGGACUGGGAGUUGAAAGGUUCCCCUUCAGGCCAGGGCUUCAUUGCGCGUUUGCAUCCGUCAGGGCACAGGGCCCAGAAUCUUUCUAAAACGGACUGCCUCAGCCCUAGCAACUCGGCUGUGGAAGCACAUUAUCAAUUUUCGCUGCAGGACGGAAGUCGCGCCAUCGGAAUACAGCUACGUGGGUGAUUCCUAAAACCCUGGGAACCCUCUCUCAGGACCAUGGAUUGAGGCUGUUCUCUCCGUGUAAAUUUGCGCAGUAGAAAUGGACGGCUCAUUUGCUGAUCUGUCGGCAGCAGCCAAAAAAGAAAAAACAAAAAAACAUUUAAGAAGGUAACUUGGAAGGUUAAAGCUGCCUUCCCGCAACAUCUUCCUACACAGCCUCAGCCUCCUCAUGAUCUGAAACCAGGAGAUUUCAUGUGUUGGAAGGGACAUUGGAGAAAAACUACUCUUGAACUUCAUUGGAAGGGACUUCAUCAGAUGCUGACAACACAAAUCCUGGUUCUAAGUGACUUGGCCAGAUUCCUAUCUACAGAUCAACCAGGAUUUUCUGGUUUCCAUCAUCAAGAACUGCUGUCACAGUUGCAGAACCUCAUGUGGCUACUUCACAAUCAAGCUCCCCGGAGGAAGAGCAGAGGUGUAGAAGAGGCAGGUUGAGAAGAUAUACCACAUUCUGGAAGACAGCACCCCAACCAUGCAGGUUUCCCAGUUAGCAACACCACCACUUUAAGUGGACAGCUCCUUCUUGGUGAUGAAGUAGACGGUGAGUCCAGAGAACUCCAAAGAAACAGCAGCUUAACUAACGCCUCCCUUUCAAGAACAGCAUCAGGACACUUGCUAAAAGUAUAGUGAGCUGGGACUCGAGGACCUGGGGACAGUCAAUGCCUACUUAUCUCAGAUGGCUCUGUGGUGAUGUCGGUGAUCUUCCCACACCCCCCAAAGAAGAGAGAAAUCUGCUGACAAAGCAUCAGUGUCCACUUCAAAAACUCCGACGAAGUUUCUCUCCCUCUACCUGGCCCUGGGAUGGGGCUGUCCACCAAUUUCUGAGCUCACCUCUCUCAGAUCUCAUCCAGUUCCGUGGCUCCACAUUUAUGUUGAUGAAUCCAGCCCAUUUCUGAUGCCCUGUCCACACACUGGACCUCUCCCUGUGAAUCUUAGAUGACAUGGCCCAGGACCCCCAAAGACCCAGCUGAGAGAGAGGCCGUCUUGAAUCAUCCAGCCCAUUGGCCACCUGACCCCAGACAUCUCACAGGAAUCAUCCUGACCAGGCCCACCUGUGAAUGACUGCAGGGAGGAAGAAAGUAACACAUCCC